rnacentral:rRNA from 1 species
AUUGAACGCUGGCGGCAUGCUUUACACAUGCAAGUCGAGCGGUAACAGGCCUUCGGGUGCUGACGAGUGGCGAACGGGUGAGUAAUGCAUCGGAACGUACCCAGAGUUGGGGGAUAACGCAGCGAAAGCUGUGCUAAUACCGCAUGUGAUCUGAGGAUGACAUCGGGGGACCGAGCAGCAAUGUUUGGCCUCGCGCCUUUGGAGCGGCCGAUGUCGGAUUAGCUAGUUGGUGGGGUAAAGGCCUACCAAGGCGACGAUCCGUAGCUGGUCUGAGAGGACGACCAGCCACACUGGGACUGAGACACGGCCCAGACUCCUACGGGAGGCAGCAGUGGGGAAUUUUGGACAAUGGGCGCAAGCCUGAUCCAGCAAUGCCGCGUGCGGGAAGAAGGCCUUCGGGUUGUAAACCGCUUUUGGCAGGAACGAAACGGUGUCCGCUAAUACCGGGCGCUAAUGACGGUACCUGCAGAAUAAGCACCGGCUAACUACGUG